UACGAAGGGGGCUAGCGUUGUUCGGAGUCACUGGGCGUAAAGGGCGCGUAGGCGGCUUUGUAAGUCGGGGGUGAAAGCCUGUGGCUCAACCACAGAAUUGCCUUCGAUACUGCAUGGCUUGAGACCGGAAGAGGUUAGUGGAACUGCGAGUGUAGAGGUGAAAUUCGUAGAUAUUCGCAAGAACACCAGUGGCGAAGGCGGCUGACUGGUCCGGUUCUGACGCUGAGGCGCGAAAGCGUGGGGAGCAAACAGG
rnacentral:rRNA from 1 species